AUUGAACGCUGGCGGCAUGCCUUACACAUGCAAGUCGAACGGUAACAGGUCUUCGGAUGCUGACGCGUGGCGAACGGGUGAGAAAUACAUCGGAACGUGCCUAGUAGUGGGGGAUAACUACUCGAAAGAGUGGCUAAUACCGCAUGAGAUCUACGGAUGAAAGCAGGGUAUCGCAAGACCUUGUGCUACUAGAGCGGCCGAUGGCAGAUUAGGUAGUUGGUGGGAUAAAAGCUUACGAAGCCGACGAUCUGUAGCUGUUCUGAGAGGACGAUCAGCCACACUGGUACUUACACACAGCCCAGACUCCUACGGGAAGAAGCAGUGGUGAAUUUUGGACAAUGGGCGAAAGCCUAAUUCAGCACUACCGCUUGCAGGAUGAAGACCUUCGGGUUGUAAACUGCGUUUGUACGGAACGAAAAGCCCCGGGUUAAUACCCUGGGGUCAUGACGGUACCGUAAGAAUAAGCACCAGCUAGCUACGUGCCAGCCGCCGCGGUAA
rnacentral:rRNA from 1 species